UACGGGGGGGGCGAGCGUUGUUCGGAAUUACUGGGCGUAAAGGGCGCGUAGGCGGUCUGCUAAGUUGGGUGUGAAAACUCUGGGCUUAACCCAGAGCCUGCAUUCAAAACUGACAGGCUAGAGUUCUGGAGGGGGUAGCGGAAUUCCUGGUGUAGCGGUGAAAUGCGUAGAUAUCAGGAGGAACACCGGUGGCGAAGGCGGCGUUCUGGACUGCAACUGACACUGAGGAACGAAAGCCAGGGGAGCAAACGGG
rnacentral:rRNA from 1 species